GAGGAAAACAUGUUCGCUCUCCUCGCAGUCUCCUCCAUCUCCUCGUACUUCCUCCGUAGCUCGCUCCGCGCCGCCGCCCAUCUCUACCUCCUCUCUCACGUCCUUCCUGCCGCCAUGCCCCUAGCGCAUCGCCAUCUCCCCGAUCUCUCGUUGUCCCUCCAGGGGAGCUGUUGGGCGGGAUCUGGAUGAGGAAAAGAAGACCCCGGCGAAGUCAGAGCGUCCUGCGGUGGCUUGAUCGGUGUGGCCGACGGCCAAUUCGGGUGUGCUACGGGGAGGCCGCCAUCUCUCCUCAUAUCCUCCUAGGAUCCCGAUCUGGAGCGGGGGGACAGACGCGGCCACAGGCCGCCGUCGGGGACGCCUCAGCAUCAUCGUCGACCGAAUUAGGGGAGCAGUAGGAUCUUUGCCCACCCCUGAGCAGGACUCGGCCCGCCCAACAGCCCCUCCACGCCGGCUGUCCGCCCCCCUGUUGCCGCCGCCUCACUCCGGAUCUUCCCCUCGCGAUGCCACUUCGAGACCCGCUCGUCCGACGACGAGGGGGACGACGAGGAGCACUGUGAGGACAAGGACGAGGACGGGAGCAGGGACGAGUGGGUGGAGGACGACGAGGAGACACCCGCCGUGAAGCCACCCAGCGGGAAGACGGAGGAGGAGAAGUUGGAGGAGGCGUGAUGAGUCCGCUCGUGGCCGACGAGAAGUCCUUCAAGCCCUACGAGCCUGUCUUCGCCAUUGUCCAGAUUGGUUUGCAUCAGUUCAAGGUGAGCAAAUGCGACUCCAUGGAGAGGCUCAAGUUCUGCGAUGUGAAUGACAAGGCAAUCUAUGAGGGCAGCAUACUUGUUGAUUGCCAUCUGCAACUUUUUCCUUGAGCAAACUGUAACCAAAGUGCUGCUCCAUCCAUCGGUGCAGCUACAACACGAGCCCCUCUUUAGAUAGAUGGAUGGAAUUAUGUCCUUAUGGUUGUCAUUGCUGUAAUUUUAUUGAGUAGAUGAUCCUUUACAUUACUGGGUUGGAAAGUCGGUGUUCAAUUUGUCAUUACCUAUACUGCGAAGUCUUUGCAUGAGGGUUCUUUUGUCAGAAUGUUCUUUCUACAGGUGAGUUUGUCAUGUUUGAACAGGUUUUGACAGAUCCCCUCCAAUGAUUUUAUUUGUCCAUGGCAACUUCAAGUUUGGCAGCAAGCUAUUCAUCUAGCCAAUAUUCCUUUUUUUGUCUCUGUCCAAUGAUACAAAUUUUAAAUAGUUGCAGCUAGCAUUGUAAUGCUUCAGGUGUUCUCUUUUGAUGACUUAGCUUUUAAACUGCUCACUGCUUGGUCCAUAUUCAUGCUCGGUUACAAUGGAAGGUAAUUUACAAGAAAUGGUAGCACUUAUUUUUGUGUUAGGAAAUUAUAUCAUAAGAAAAUCUGUGGUCAGCCUAGAUUGCAUUAAGAUAUAUGUUUUUAAAAGACUGCUCUCUACUUAUUUCCUACCAGGAAUUCCAUCCAUUUCGUUCCUAUUGAAACUUGGCUAUCAACCACCAAAAACUACUUUUAUUCGCUGAGUACGUUGAUUAUUGUAGUGCAGUGUUUCAUAUGCUGUCAGUAGCUUUUCCCUAAGCUCUUUCUCGCUAUUUAGUUAUUCCUUGAAUCAAGUGGAUAUUUAUUUCGGCUAUUGCAGGUUUUGUUAUCCUUAUGAUUCUGUACCCACUCUGUUAAGGAAUAUAAGGUUCAUAAGUUAUGUCCCAAUCAAAUUUCCGUAACUUUAAGCAAGUAUAUGGAUAGAAAUUUACCAGACAAUGGCGUCCUUCACACUACAAGAUAGGAGAGCAUCUCUUUGUUUAGCAAAUCGUGCCAAUAAUGAUCUCAAGUUUGAAAACAUAUGAGAUAAAGUGCACAUCUCUUUUUAUUUUGUCAUGGCCACCUUGAUCAUUGUAGUUCAGGUUAGUGCUCUUGUGGUACAAGGCUUACAAGAAUAUAUGUGCAGACAAUUACCAGAGUUUUUGGGUGGGUUGUGCACAUGCUCAAACCAGGAAGGAUGCCGGAAGUCCAAGAAAGGCCUUUUGAUCGACCCUUAAAUUAUGAAGGCUCGCGCGGGCAGCGGCCGUACAGACCGUAGCGGAAUUGUAAAACAAAAUAUUCCAGAGGUCCCUUUGUUCAGCCAAACUCUAAAAGGUGUUCUUUUAUUUGGUUCCUUAGUCCUGGCCUGACGAGGUCCGUUUCUUUAGCCAAACUGCAGCACUUAAUGUUAGCUUGUCUUCGCUUUUGGAUCAACUGUAAUGCAUCGUAUCACUCAUUUAUGCUCCAUGGGUGAGUCGUACAUAUCCUCAUUAGAUGUAUCAUUGCAUAUGAUGGUUCUGAACUCAAAUAAUAUUGUAUCUCUAUGUUUAAUCGAUAUGAUACUAAUAGAUCAUAAUAUCAUAGCAUAUGCCCA